GGCUGAAAUUGCCUUCAUGAAGCUGGAAUUGCUAGUAAUGGCAGGUCAGCAUACUGCCGUGAAUACGUUCCCGGGCCUUGUACACACCGCCCGUCACACCAUGAGAGUUGGGAAUACCCGAAGCCUGUGAGCUAACUUAUAGAGGCAGCAGUCGAAGGUAGAAUCAAUGAUUGGGGUGAAGUCGUAACAAGGUACC
rnacentral:rRNA from 1 species